AGAGUUUGAUCCUGGCUCAGGAUGAACGCUGGCGGCGUGCCUAAUACAUGCAAGUCGAGCGAACAGACGAGGAGCUUGCUCCUCUGACGUUAGCGGCGGACGGGUGAGUAACACGUGGAUAACCUACCUAUAAGACUGGGAUAACUUCGGGAAACCGGAGCUAAUACCGGAUAAUAUAUUGAACCGCAUGGUUCAAUAGUGAAAGACGGUUUUGCUGUCACUUAUAGAUGGAUCCGCGCCGCAUUAGCUAGUUGGUAAGGUAACGGCUUACCAAGGCAACGAUGCGUAGCCGACCUGAGAGGGUGAUCGGCCACACUGGAACUGAGACACGGUCCAGACUCCUACGGGAGGCAGCAGUAGGGAAUCUUCCGCAAUGGGCGAAAGCCUGACGGAGCAACGCCGCGUGAGUGAUGAAGGUCUUCGGAUCGUAAAACUCUGUUAUUAGGGAAGAACAAAUGUGUAAGUAACUAUGCACGUCUUGACGGUACCUAAUCAGAAAGCCACGGCUAACUACGUGCCAGCAGCCGCGGUAAUACGUAGGUGGCAAGCGUUAUCCGGAAUUAUUGGGCGUAAAGCGCGCGUAGGCGGUUUUUUAAGUCUGAUGUGAAAGCCCACGGCUCAACCGUGGAGGGUCAUUGGAAACUGGAAAACUUGAGUGCAGAAGAGGAAAGUGGAAUUCCAUGUGUAGCGGUGAAAUGCGCAGAGAUAUGGAGGAACACCAGUGGCGAAGGCGACUUUCUGGUCUGUAACUGACGCUGAUGUGCGAAAGCGUGGGGAUCAAACAGGAUUAGAUACCCUGGUAGUCCACGCCGUAAACGAUGAGUGCUAAGUGUUGGAGGGUUUCCGCCCUUCAGUGCUGCAGCUAACGCAUUAAGCACUCCGCCUGGGGAGUACGACCGCAAGGUUGAAACUCAAAGGAAUUGACGGGGGCCCGCACAAGCGGUGGAGCAUGUGGUUUAAUUCGAAGCAACGCGAAGAACCUUACCAGGUCUUGACAUCCUUUGACCACUCUAGAGAUAGAGCUUUCCCUUCGGGGACAAAGUGACAGGUGGUGCAUGGUUGUCGUCAGCUCGUGUCGUGAGAUGUUGGGUUAAGUC
rnacentral:rRNA from 1 species